ACAACAUCAGUUCAGUUUCGAAGUUCAAACCUAUCAUGCUGUUACUUAGCACAUCAGUAUAGAUAAGACAGACCUGAUAAACAGUCUCUCUCACAAAAACUGAAGGUUCUUAGCCCACUCUGGGUGCGGCCAGGCCAGAAAGACUCAAACAGGAAGAAAGCAAUGCAGAUAAGCACAAAGGUGAUUCAGCAGGACGACGGAGCUGGAAGAGGGUACCAGUAGCCAUUGUGAGAACUGCCUCCUUAACCUGACCAGUGCAUCUUGGUACCAUGAAACUACAGUAUAUUCGGCAGAACAAGAUCCCGCUUUAAGGCUCAUUUCACACGGCGGCGAGGCAGAUCAGGACAGGAGCACUGCUGAUUAAACCCAUGGGCUGUUCUGCAGCUGAACACACAGAGAUCCAGUUUCUUUUGUUACCUGUGGGUAUGUUUCCAUGCGGGCUCAGAUCUAGUCAGAAUGGAUCACUCAUAUCCUGAAGAAAAGAAGUGAAACAAGAGACAUUAUUUUGAUGGGGUCUGCAGAAACUCAAUCUGCAGUGGACCCCUGUUGGUUCUGCAUGAACGAGGACUGAAGGUG
rnacentral:lncRNA from 1 species